CCAUUGAAACUUUUGUGAUUUAGGUAAAGAAAAUUUGCAUCACAAACACAGGAUGUAAACGUCUCACUCACGGAAAUGGGUUUGAUGGUGAACAUAUCCGACUAUUUUUAUCCAAAAUCGAAAAGUAUUACGCUCUUCAUUGUAUCAAGAAACAAAUAAACUUUCCUUACACUUUUCUGGUGUGCCAAUUUUGGCAGCCCUUGACAAACUCUGGAUGUGUAACAAACUUGGUUACUUGUGUUUUGCUAAACACCCAGCGGCUUGCAAAUCAGCUGGCCAAACACUCUUAAUUACUAUUGCAUCCCAUGGAGAUCUUCUGCAUCAAAACACUUGGCAGGCAGUCGUUUGGCAGGUAUUGUUUUCAUUGUUGGAUAACGUCAAGAAAUUUUUUCUGGUCAAGCAAGUGAUGUAAAGGUGAACACUUC